GUGGCCAACUAGUCAGAAUCCUCUGUGUUCUCCUACGAGAACCAAGAACAGUUGGUUCUUAGAAUAGAGGAUGAGGUGGCCAACUAGUCAGAAUCCUCUGUGUUCUCCUACGAGAACCAAGAACAGUUGGUUCUUAGAAUAGAGGAUGAGGUGGCCAACUAGUCAGAAUCCUCUGUGUUCUCCUACGAGAACCAAGAACAGUUGGUUCUUAGAAUAGAGGAUGAGGUGGCCAACUAGUCAGAAUCCUCUGUGUUCUCCUACGAGAACCAAGAACAGUUGGUUCUUAGAAUAGAGGAUGAGGUGGCCAACUAGUCAGAAUCCUCUGUGUUCUCCUACGAGUACCAAGAACAGUUGGUUCUUAGAAUAGAGGAUGAGGUGGCCAACUAGUCAGAGUCCUCUGUGUUCUCCUACGAGAACCAAGAACAGUUGGUUCUUAGAAUAGAGGAUGAGGAGAGACUUUGUUCGGAACAGACAAGAUGUGCACAGCCGUGGUGAAUUAGGUACAGAUUUAUGUGAAAACAGCAAUUUACACAACCAGAGUAACACUAUUGUACACACCUAUCAUUUAUAUUAACCUUAAAGUAAUGCUACUACAUAUU